GUCUCGCUGUAACGCAUUGGAUAGCGUGUUGGACUUCUAAUCCAAGGGUAAUGGGUUUGAAUCCCACUAGGGAUG